rnacentral:lncRNA from 1 species
AUUUAAGAAUCAAGUAGAAACGCUACAAAACUGCAAUCAACACAAUGGGGUAGUACAAAUUAGAAAUUCAAAUGCUUCUUUCAAACCCUUAUAGAAAAGGUUCUGUAGCUUGAACCGCAGAAAGAAACCAUUAUAAAAAUAGAAACCUUUAUUUCUCCAUUCCAGGCUGUUUCUACAAAUCACCAUUGACCCUGGAGUUCCCAUUCAGUGCUGUAGCUGCUAUUACAUUAUUGCUGCCAAGAGAAAGCAUCAGGUCACCAGGAACUCUCGAGCUAAUAAGCUUCAAUGCAUCCUCAGCGGGAAGCCGCAUGCUAGAGCUAAGAAACAGAGGUAUUCUAAACAGUUACUAAAAAUAAUACACAUUGGUGCUGUAUUCUUUCCCACUGCUUCUAGCAUUGGUAGGGAAUGAUUUUUUUUAAGUUAAAAAACACUUUGUAAGGAGCAGCUUGUUUUAAAGCAACAUUCUAAGCACCAUAACUACUACAGUUUAUUGUAGUGGUUAUGAUGCUUGAAAACCGACGAACUUGUGGAUUCCCUUACAUCAUAUAUAGAUCACUGGUAUCCUUCCCCAUAGAAUGUCAUGAAUAUGUGCAGUAUACGGGCAACAAACUACAACUGGUAGCUAGAGAUAAAAUCUUCUGUUAAAAGAUUAUUAUUUUUUUUUUUAAAUAGAUUUUUCCUACAGUAAUAGUUCUGCUUUAUAUAGCAUCUUUCACGUGUCUACGAAGAGCAGAUACUAGAGCUUCUAAAACAACAAAAAGUUUAUAAACAGGCAGGAGAGUAAAUGUUGAGAUUCAUAACAAUAUACAGUUUAUUUUGAAAACAGUUUGUGGAUAAAUAAAGCAAAUUAUUUUGUUUCUGACUACUUCUGAAAGAGGAGUUCACAGAUGGACAAAAUAGUACUCUUACAACAAUAGAAGGCAUGCAAGUGAAAGGAAGUAAAUAAUUAUUUAGUGCAUCUCCGGAAUUACUCUUUAAGUCCUCUUUGGUUGUAAGCACAAUCUAUUCGAUCGGAGACCAUAUGGAACUUGAAUACUUGAAACCAGUCUGGUGCUAAAUCUCAAGAUUCUGAAUGGACACUAGAUUGGGUUCAAAUCAAUCAACUGGAGUCUUACAUCUCAUACCUUAGUCAACCAACCACAUUCACCUGGACAGUGGAACAAUUUGGGGCAAUCUGUCAGGUGUCUUAUAGGCCAUAGACAUUUUAUUCAAUGUAUUCCAAUAAGUGGCACAAAACUAAGCAAUUCCAUUAGCUAGUAUAGUAUCUUUCCAGCUCCAGGAUGUAAAGGAGAGAGUGUUGCUGGUCAAAUUAAGCAUGUUGUGUAACUCUUUUCCCUUUGUAUGCUGUUGUAUCUGAAUAUUAUUUAUUUUAAACAUCUUAAGUUUAUUUAUUAAUUUCAAACUUCACAUCAUUAGACAAGUGUUAGCAUUGUUUCAGCACCCUGGGUGUACUCUUAUAAAUGCAAUGUUUGAGUUUCCCUCUGGUACCAUUAUAUCUGUUUCAAAACAAAUAUUUUCCAGGUUCAUUUAUCAGACAAGGCAAGCAAAUAUCGUAUAUCAAAUUGUAAACUCCAUAAAAAGCCAUUGAGCAGUCCAAUUCUCUUUCAACAAGCUUUAUUGUGUUUUGAACAGUUAAAAAAAGGAAGACAUACAGAAAAAGCUAUAAACCAAAUUACCAUAAUAGAGUCAUCUUGGGCAUUUUGUGCAGGAAUGGACUUGGAAUUUAACAGUCACCUGAUUUUUAAAUAUAUCAUUGUAUUUAGGGCUGUGACUCUCCUGAAUUAGACCACAGUAGAACUGCAUAGAAAUUAUAAUUUACCCUAUAACAAAUGCAGAACCACUGAUUGAAAAGUCAGCAGAUUCUAAAAAGACGUAUUGGAUAACAAACUAUAAAUCAGUAGUAUACAGAUAUGGAAGAAAGUAGAAGAAAGUAAAGAUUUCUAAAAUAAAAAAUAAAAUAAAAAAUACACAUUAAAAUAAAACCUACCACACUCUCUCUAUAAAGAAUGGAAGCAGCACUGUCAUGGAUAAAACAGAAGUUUUAGUUCUGUUUUAAAUAAUACAGGUUUAUAACAAAAAAACAAGACAGCUUUAGCAAUUGGCUAUUACAGGAUAAUGUUUCUAAUAGAACUAUCCAAUUGUUUCUCCUUUAAGAAUAUUUAAAGAGUGGCAACAAAGUCACUUACAAAAAUGUUACUUGAUUUGUGUUUCUUCCUUGUAUAAUGCUUUAUAUGCUUGUUUCAUUAAAGGUACUCAUUUGGCGUUUUACCUGAAGGCAAGCUAUUACCUAGAGGUUAAUUUUGGCAAUGAAACUUAUACACAGCCAGCUCUAUGUUUGUCUUUUUAAAGUUCCUUUCAAAUUUUAUUUCUUGACAACAUUUAUGCCAAUCCAGAAUAAUCUAAGAAAAAACUAACAAGGUCAUUUUACAAAACAAAAAAAAGUGAUUUUCAAAUUUAAGGUCAGACUAGCUGAACUGAAAGUCUAGCUGAAACCGAAAUCAGGAAACAUCUACUAAAAAUAUAUGUUAAGCUACCACAAUCCUCAGAUUUUUUUUUUUUUUUAUUAUUAUUUUUUUUAGGAAAGACAAACAAUCCAUAUAAAAAAAAAUGGGGUGCACUUUGUAAUAUGAAAAAAAAUCUCCUGAGGUUCCAAAGUAAAAUCCAAAACACCUAACAGGGUAAUAAAACAAUAAUAGUGUGGAGCGCUAAGUGGAUUAUUUUAAUAUAUAUCCAAAAUUUGUAAGUUGUUACGGUGGAGCGCUUAGGGGAUUAUUUUAACAUGCUACUAAUUUAUAUAAAUACCUGCUAAAAGUGCAAUGUCAACCAUCAAGUUUUUGUGCAAAUAUUUCUAAAAAGUGCCAAUCUUCUAAAGUGCAAUUCCAGUACACAAACAUUUAUUUUUUUUCUUCAGUUUUGAGAACUGGAAUUGCACCUCAUAAGAUUGCCCCCCCCCCUUUUUUUUUUUUUUUAAUAUUUCCACAAAAACGUGAAUGUUCAAAUUGUGCCAAGUCCAUUCUCUGUCUAUAUAUGUGAACAAUGGAUAUACACUUUAGUUUGUGCUAUCGUCUCACAGUCAGAAAGGGAGAAAGGCCAGUGGCAGAUACAAGCAUUCAUGUUUUUUCACAUUAAAAUAAAAGCUUAUAUUUAAAAUAACAUCAGUUAGUGUAUCAAGUGAAGUAGGCAUCAAGUAGUCCUUUAGUGUAAGACUCCAAGUAAGGAAGUGCUCAGCUGUCUCUGUGUUUCGCACAUCAUGUUUCAUCUGAUCCAUCAUUGCACACUUGCUCAUUUGGAGCGGCCAUUAUAGCACUGAAGAACUGCUUGCGGCCAGUAGGUGUAUUUUUAAAUGUAAGCUUUUGUGAAUAAAUAGGAGUAUUUUUAUCCUUUCAUACCAUGGCAUGCUGAAGUUCAGACCAAGGGAAGAUAACACAAACUGGAGUAUAUUUCCCACUUAGUGCACAUAUAGGACUAACAGUGGGCUCUUAAAUUUGUCUGUAUACGUUCAUUUUAGCACAGUAUUUAAUUUACUGCAGGUAUACUAUUCUUGGUGUGUACAUUUAAAAAAAAAUAUAUAUAUAUAAAUCUCUGUUUAGGCGACAUACCAAUGUAUAUAGUAAGUGACUGUUUUCACUUACUACCAUUUUAGGAAUUAUAAGCACUUUGUUUCUUUUUAUACAAUGAUAUAUUGUGCCAAACAAUGUAUGUUCACACUGUGAAAGUACUUUACAUAUUGUGAUGGUUUUAUUAUCUUGACACAUCUUAUUGCUAUUUAUCUAUAUCUGUUAUUCUAAAUAAUGUUUGUAUAAUAAUUUUAAAACAAUAUACAUGGUUGUAUUUCCUUUUGGUUUCAUUUUUUGGAGUUUGCUUUGGAACCACAUGAGAUUUUUUUACAUUGUUUUUAAACAGGUAAUUUUUUAUUUAUUUUUUAAUUUCACUAAGGUGUAAAACUCCCGAUAAAUAAUUUUUCAGUUUGGCUAUUUUGACCUUAAUUUUGAAAUUCACUUUGAAUUCUCAUUUUAGUAAAUAACCCUGUAAUUUUUUGUUAGUAAUUUUACUGGACAAUUUAUUAAGAAAUUGCACCUAGAUUCUGUGUAUCAAACAGUAACUUAACUAGAUACAUCCUAACAACCAGAGAUGUCCUUUGUUUUUUUCCGUUGAAACCGUGUAUCUACAGGAUCGAAGCCUCUCUCUGUGGAGCCAAAGAGAGCCCAGUUCGGUGUUUUUGAUACAUAGUCCAAAGCAGUAAAUUUUUGGCUGCCUCCACUCUUUUCAAAUUCCUGGACGAGAUGUUGGAACUUCUCAUAAUUAAUCCAAGUCCACCAUUCAUUAUCAAUCUUGAACUAAAAGAUAGAAAGCACAAUCAAGUCAAGUACUAUGACAAAGAAAAUA